AACGAACGCUGGCGGCAUGCCUAACACAUGCAAGUCGAACGAGAUCUUCGGAUCUAGUGGCGCACGGGUGCGUAACGCGUGGGAAUCUGCCCCUUGCUUCGGAAUAACAGUGAGAAAUUACUGCUAAUACCGGAUGAUGUCUUCGGACCAAAGAUUUAUCGGCAAGGGAUGAGCCCGCGUAGGAUUAGGUAGUUGGUGGGGUAAUGGCCUACCAAGCCGACGAUCCUUAGCUGGUCUGAGAGGAUGAUCAGCCACACUGGGACUGAGACACGGCCCAGACUCCUACGGGAGGCAGCAGUGGGGAAUAUUGGACAAUGGGCGAAAGCCUGAUCCAGCAAUGCCGCGUGAGUGAUGAAGGCCUUAGGGUUGUAAAGCUCUUUUACCAGGGAUGAUAAUGACAGUACCUGGAGAAUAAGCUCCGGCUAACUCCGUGCCAGCAGCCGCAGUAAAAC
rnacentral:rRNA from 1 species